GUCUGGUUCUUAGACCCUACAUUAAAAUAGUGGGACAUUUGGUAUGGAAGGUACAGCAUGAAGUCCAGUUAAGGUACAGAUCCUCUGAAUAUCCAAUCAUAUGGCCUGGGGAGAAGCCAAGGGCAAAUUGCACAGGCAUGUGAUCUGGCCCACUUUCUCCCAUCUCAGAAGGAGGUAAUCUGCAUUCAUCAGCAGAGCGAGGCAGCUUGAAUAAAAUACACAUAUAAUCCGUUGUUCUUGAGGAAUGUGUCCUUCCGUUUUGCAGAGAAACAGGAAUUAUUGCUUAUGAAAAGCAACAGACAAGAAGAAAGAACAAAAGAA